rnacentral:lncRNA from 1 species
AGAAUGUUUUCCUCAGUGAUGAGAUCUUUCUUUCUGUAAAAAGUACUCUCUUCAAAUGCAUGUCGAGGUCUUCCCAUGAUGUUGGCAUGUAAGGUCUCUAUUCUUCUAUUGCGGAUGAUUUAAAGACGUGAACUAAUAUACAGCUUCUUUCAAUAUGUAGCAAGUUGUUUUUGGCUGAAAUAUGUAGGUUUGAGGAACCACGAGUUUUAGGAAGUCAAGCAAACAAAUAAGGCAUUCUAAGACCACCUGGGAUUUAUGUAUUAUAAGCAACUAGAACAAGAGCCUGGGGUCACUUACCCAAAAAAAAGAAGAAAAAAACAAGAGCC